GGUGCUGUGGCCGAGAGGCGAGGCACGGCUCUGCAAAAGCCGCCACACCGGUUCAAAUCCGGUCAGCACCU
rnacentral:tRNA from 1 species